CAGUCGCCGCGGUAAAACGUAGGGUGCGAGCGUUAAUCGGAAUUACUGGGCGUAAAGCGUGCGCAGGCGGUUUUGUAAGUCUGUCGUGAAAUCCCCGGGCUCAACCUGGGAAUGGCGAUGGAGACUGCAAGGCUAGAAUCUGGCAGAGGGGGGUAGAAUUCCACGUGUAGCAGUGAAAUGCGUAGAUAUGUGGAGGAACACCGAUGGCGAAGGCAGCCCCCUGGGCUAAGAUUGACGCUCAUGCACGAAAGCGUGGGGAGCAAACAGGAUUAGAUACCCCUGUAGUCCCUGUCUCUUAUAC
rnacentral:rRNA from 1 species